rnacentral:rRNA from 1 species
AGUGAACGCUGGCGGUAGGCCUAACACAUGCAAGUCGAACGGCAGCACAGUAAGAGCUUGCUCUUACGGGUGGCGAGUGGCGGACGGGUGAGGAAUACAUCGGAAUCUACUUUUUCGUGGGGGAUAACGUAGGGAAACUUACGCUAAUACCGCAUACGACCUACGGGUGAAAGCAGUGGAUCUUCGGACCUUGCGCGAUUGAAUGAGCCGAUGUCGGAUUAGCUAGUUGGCGGGGUAAAGGCCCACCAAGGCGACGAUCCGUAGCUGGUCUGAGAGGAUGAUCAGCCACACUGGAACUGAGACACGGUCCAGACUCCUACGGGAGGCAGCAGUGGGGAAUAUUGGGCAAUGGGCGCAAGCCUGAUCCAGCCAUACCGCGUGGGUGAAGAAGGCCUUCGGGUUGUAAAGCCCUUUUGUUGGGAAAGAAAAGCAGCAGGUUAAUACCCCGCUGUUCUGACGGUACCCAAAGAAUAAGCACCGGCUAACUUCGUG